GUUUUCACUCUUGUCAUUGUUCUAGUACUCAUUUUUGUGUGUGUAUGUGUUUGCUGAAGCAAGUGGAAAUCAGCAGGGGGGAGUGUAACAGGGUCAAAAAGGUAUUUCCACUUGCUACACUCAUUUUCAUGUAUGGUCCCUUUAAUUGCACUCUACCUGCACACUCCACCCAGAUAAUGAACUAGUUCCGGUAGGGUCAUUUAGAUUUGCGCCAGCCGAGAGGGUGACUGGCUGCGAGCAUGCACGAGGGUGAUUUGCGAAUCUGAUCACCGCUGUUUAAUAUGUUGUCAACAGAAUAAAAGUCUGUCUUCAAGC